rnacentral:rRNA from 1 species
GACGAACGCUGGCGGCGUGCUUAACACAUGCAAGUCGAACGGAAAGGCCCUGCUUUUGUGGGGUGCUCGAGUGGCGAACGGGUGAGUAACACGUGAGUAACCUGCCCUUGACUUUGGGAUAACUUCAGGAAACUGGGGCUAAUACCGGAUAGGAGCUCCUGCUGCAUGGUGGGGGUUGGAAAGUUUCGGCGGUUGGGGAUGGACUCGCGGCUUAUCAGCUUGUUGGUGGGGUAGUGGCUUACCAAGGCUUUGACGGGUAGCCGGCCUGAGAGGGUGACCGGCCACAUGGGGACUGAGAUACGGCCCAGACUCCUACGGGAGGCAGCAGUGGGGAAUAUUGGACAAUGGGCGGAAGCCUGAUGCAGCAACGCCGCGUGCGGGAUGACGGCCUUCGGGUUGUAAACCGCUUUCGCCUGUGACGAAGCGUGAGUGACGGUAAUGGGUAAAGAAGCACCGGCUAACUACG